CUUACUGUAAAUAUAAAAUGACCAUAUUUUUCCUCUGUGCAAACUGAAUAUCACUACAUUUCAAAUACAGUGUAGAGCAAACUUCAAUAGUGUUUGUUGUUACAUUGUUUAAAUUAAUCUAAAUUUCCUGUUUACUUUCCAGAAGGAAAAUGGAGUAGAAAAAUAGUUACUCAUUGGUUAACUUGCUGUAAACUUGCUGAGCACCAAAAUGCCAGAAGGCUUCUAAUUUUUCUAAGUCUCCUUUAAUAGCUUUAUGUGAUUGUUAGACAGGUCCUAGUUCACAGAACAAUGUUCUGUAUAAUUCCCAAAUAUUUAAUGUAACUAAGGUAAGCUUGCUGCAAAGCAAGCUAGACCUACUGCAUUAAGAUGUAUUUCUACUCCAAAGUAUCUGUGCUUGGGAUUGUAGCCUUAAUUUGAUGAAGCUAGUUCAAGUCUGUUUUUCAGUUAUUUUCCUAGGAUAUGCAAGUAAUUAGUCUUCAUACUUUGCUGUGUGCCUGAAGCAAAACUGAAUACUAGACAAGCUUUACCUACUAGUCUCUGGCUUCCCAAUCUCCAUAAAGGGUCACCUUUAGAAGUUGCCUGUCACUUAAAAAGUUUCCGGCACAUAUGAGGAGGUCUCUAUUCUGCUCUGGACAAACAGAAAUUGUCCCCCUGCCUCCUGCAUGCAUAAGCUCAGACAUGACAUUUUACAAGGCUACCCUUACUUAAUCCAUCAGGAUUCCUUGGAUGAGCAAGUUGAUAUAUAUCAUAGCUAAAAAUAAAUUGCAGUGAGGGAACAGUAGUGCUCUGCUUCCCCUCCCUACCCUUCAGCAAGUGCAUCAGAUGACAGGAAAGCUAAAGUUGUAGUUAGUAAACAAUGCUAUCUAUUAUGACAACCACUAAUCUAAUUACUGUUUUAUGUAAGCCAGACUUUACUGAAGGCUACUUACUUCUCAUUUGAGAAACAGAUUAUGGAGGAAAUGGUAUUGUCCUUCUGGGAUUUCCAACUGAAAAGACCAUUCCCUUGUUAAACCGGUUGAUGUGUUUUCAGCGCUGAGAUCUGCCAUGAAGAAAGCACACACAGCUCCAGUUCUAAGUCUAUGGGUGCUCCAAAGAGGUUUAGCACGGAGACCUUAAGAGGAAGGACUGUGGGACACAUGCUUUACCUGCAGAGGUUUAUUUCGCAGUAUUUCCAGUUAAGGCUGGGAAGAAUUCCAUUCUGAGGUGCUGGUGAACCCCCACCAAUGCGUGCAGAGCAGACUCCUUCAGCCUGAUACCCUCCAGAUGUUUUGGCCUUCAGCUCCCAUCAGCCCCGGCCAGCAUGUCAACUGUUGAAAAUGCCAGAAGACGUAGUUCAAGACAUCUGGAGAGUACCAGGUUGGAGAAGGCUGCCAUGAACAUUAUUGAACUAAAUGGACCACUGGUUUGACUUGAUAGAAGAUAGUCGUUUUCGAUGUUCUUUUAUAGUUCAAAGAGCCAGACAAGAAAAAGGUUUCAUUCCUUACCCUCUAAAGGCCCAUAUGCAUGUGAAAAACAUAACCCUUUCACCUGACAUGGAGUGUGUCUGAAAGAUUAUUCUUUUUCAACGAGCAGCACAGUUAGAACACCAAAUAUUUUCAUUGCUGUGUCCAAGCAGUCCUCCAGAAUUUGAUAGACAACCGUUGCGAAAGCCAGGGAUCUCAGCUUUCUUUUUAAAGCAGAAAGCAAUUGUUUUAAAUGCUCAGGCAACUUCUGCAACAUAGUCCAGCAUCUGAAGGACAGAGCUUCUGUGGCUUGUGUGACCAUCUUCCAUCUCUGAUGGCCUCUGGUCCCCUUGAACACUGUUCUUCCCCUUCGUCCACCAUCCGCUUCCUCCAGUGCUAUGCCUGUGUGUAAGCUUAAGUCCAAGACAGGGGGCAUUAGAUAAGUGUCCUUCCCACAGUAGCCAUUUGGAAUCAUUAAGCUUUUCCCUUUAAAUCCAAGUGGAAUAGCUGUCAUCAGAUUAAAAGGUGGCCUCUCCUCCCCAAAACAGACUAUUAUUUAAUUCAGGAACUUGUCUGACACAGGCCAUUUUCUUGAUGUAGGUGCAAUGAUGAUACAUGAAUCUCCUUUUAGAGUUGUGCAGCAUAUUAAGACAACUUUGCCCUUUGGAAACAGUGAGAUUGAUAGAAGAGGGUCUCUAGGUAUAUGGGUGAUGUUGCUGGGGAUCAGGAUCUGAAACGAGCCUAAACUUGGCAUAGCUUCACAGACAAAUGCAACCAGAUGGUCCCAGUUAACAAGCUUUGCUGCUGCCUUGGUUGAGAAAGACAACUGCGUAAGUAUCCAGGAGCCCGACGGACCCAAAGCAGCUGCCCUUGAAAUAUUAAUACUGACACUCUGUGGCAUUAAUAAGGAAUGCAAGCUAAAACAUGCAUGUGUUCUCAGAGAGGCAUACAAAAUGAGUGCAGCCGUACCAGGCACAAAGUCCUGGUGUUAUCCCAUAUACUUCAGCCAAAAUCCCUCCUAGUCAUACACGUUUUUCAGCAUAAAAAAGACAAAAUAUGGGGAGGGGGAGUAACAUGCAGAUACUUUCAUGAGGAAUGUUAGAUUACUCUGUGCAACAUAAAGGUGUUUCUCACAAUACGCCAUCCUAUAUAUAUAUAUAUAUAUAUAUAUAUAUAUAUAUAUAUUUCCCAAGUAAAUCCCUUGUUUCUGUCAAGUAAGCACACAUAGGUAUAUAGGCUUUUGUUGAUUUGUAUGGUUCACUUCUAAAGUACAGGUGCUGGCUAAGGUGUUCCCCUGACUGGAUUAUGAAUGACACUGGAAAACUUCUUACUUUUGCCAUUUAGAAGUGUGUGUGAGAGAGGCCACUUCUCCUCUUUUCCAGUCACCUCUAAUGCUGAUGCCAGUUGCACUGAUAAGGAACCUCGGGCCGUGAGCCAAACGCAGCCUUCCAGCCUUCCCCAGAAAGCCACACUCCCUUCUCAUGGAUCUGCAGGUUGCUUAGUUCUUUCCCGGAUUUGCAUAGUUCCUGCCUGCCCCAUUCUAAAAGUCUGUGGCUCAGGAGAGGACCUACCUGCUCCCUUCCAGACCCAGUGUUCUUUUCUCCACUGCAGGCCCAUCACCAGCAGAGAGAAGUCAGCCUAUGAAGAACAGCUUCUGUUUAUGUAUUUUUAUUGAUGAUAAUAAAGAACAUACCCUAAGCA